UACGUAGGGUGCGAGCGUUGUCCGGAAUUAUUGGCGUAAAAGGGGCUCGUAGGCGGUUUUGUCGCGUCGGGGAGUGAAAAACACCGGGGCUUAACUCGGGUGCUUUGCUUUUCGAUACGGGGCAGACUAGAGGGCAUGCAGGGGGGAGAAACGGAAAUUCCUGGUUGUAGCGGGUGGAAAAUGCGCAGAUAUCAGGGAGGGAAACACCCGGGUUGGGCGAAAGGGGCGGGGUUUCUCCUUGGGGCAUUGGUUCCC
rnacentral:rRNA from 1 species